rnacentral:rRNA from 1 species
CGUAGGGACCGAGCGUUGUCCGGAUUCAUUGGGCGUAAAGAGCUCGUAGGCGGCCACUCAAGUCGAAUGUGAAACCUCGAGGCUUAACCUCGAGCCUGCAUUCGAUACUGGGCGGCUAGAGUCUGGUAGGGGGAUCUGGAAUUCCUGGUGUAGCGGUGGAAUGCGCAGAUAUCAGGAGGAACACCGGUGGCGAAGGCGGGAUCCUGGGCCAGUACUGACGCUGAGGAGCGAAAGCGUGGGGAGCAAACAGGAUUAGAUACCCUGGUAGUCCACGCCGUAAACGAGUGGGCGCUAGGUGUGGGAGGUCAUCGACUCCUUCCGUGCCGCAGCUAACGCAUUAAGCGCCCCGCCGUGGGGAGUACGGCCGCAAGGACUA